rnacentral:misc_RNA from 1 species
UUUCCGUAGGUGAACCUGCGGAAGGAUCAUUAACAAGUGCCCCGGCCUGAGCCGGGGAACUACCAAAUAUAUGCUAUUCCCGCAAGGGAUUUGCGUAUAAUUGCGUCCACCCUUUGUGAAACUUAACCUUUUGCUUCGGCAGCACUCUUAGCGGGCAACCGCUAGAGGGGUAAGGCUGUCAGAAGCCCACUAUCAAAACUAGUUGAUGAAAUGUCAUGCAGUCUGAUAACCAUUGUUUGAGAAAUCAAAUUAUGUUAAAACUUUCAGCAACGGAUCUCUUGGUUCCC